rnacentral:rRNA from 1 species
CCCUGGCUCAGAACGAACGUUGGCGGCGUGGUUAAGGCAUGCAAGUCGAGCGAUCUUAUUGAGUUUUGAGGCCGCAAGGUCAAGAGACUUGAUUUGAUAGCGGCAAAAGGGUGAGGAAUGCGUGGGUAAUCUACCUUCGGGACGGGGAUAACACUCCGAAAGGAGUGCUAAUACCGGGUAAGACCACGGCUCCGCAUGGAGCUGUGAUAAAAGAUGGGGACCGCAAGGCCUAUCGUCUGAAGAGGAGCCCAUGUCCUAUCAGCUAGUUGGCGGGGUAAUGGCCCACCAAGGCUUUUGACGGGUAGCUGGUCUGAGAGGAUGGUCAGCCACAUUGGGACUGAGACACUGCCCAGACUCCUACGGGAGGCUGCAGUCGAGAAUCUUUCGCAAUGGGCGAAAGCCUGACGAUGCGACGCCGCGUGAGGGAUGAAGGUYUUCGGAUCGUAAACCUCUGUCACACGGGAAGAACGUCCUAUGGGUGA